rnacentral:rRNA from 1 species
CGAAAGUUACGCUAAUACCGCAUACGUCCUGAGGGAGAAAGGCGGGGGAUCGCAAGACCUCGCGCGAUUGGAGUGGCCGAUGUCAGAUUAGCUAGUUGGUAGGGGUAAACGGCCCACCAAGGCGACGAUCUGUAGCGGGUCUGAGAGGAUGAUCCGCCACACGUGGGACUGAGACACCGGCCCAGACUCCGUACGGGAGGCAGCAGGUGGGUAAUUUGGACAUGGGGGAAACCCUGAUCCAGCCAUGCCGCGUGCGGGAAGAAGGCCUUCGGGUUGUAAACCGCUUUCAGCCGGAAAGAAAUCGCACGGACCAAUACUCUGUGUGGAUGACGGUACCGGAAGAAGAAGCACCGGCUAACUACGUG